AAAAAAAAAAAAAAACCAUUCAAAUUGAAUAUCAGGCUUCGUCAUUAUCAACCACAGGUACAUGAACUCGAAGCUGUCUCUGGUCAGGACUUGGCGUUCUCUUCGUUCGAGCAAAAGGCUAUCUGUGAAGAACGAAACAAGAGAAGAACACUUAAAGAUCGCUCCGCCGAAAAAGCCAUAUGCCUUCCUAAAAUUGUUAAAUUUGUUACUCUGAUUUUGGGGUUGCUGGAACUCUGGAUUCAUUUGUGCCGGAUUCACCAUUGUUUCUCCUGAGUGGUUUGAGCUUCCAAAAAAUUUUAUGCAACUGCAGAAAGUGUUCAGCUAAAAGGCUUAUAUAGACUGGAAUGCCACAUAUGAUUACUAUGAAAAGAUGAAUGUCAAGGAGGCAUAUUAUUUGUCUACAGAAUAUCUUCAGAGUAGAGCAUUGCUAAAUGCAAUGCAGGGUAGAGCAUUGCUAAAUGCAAUUGGUAAUUUAGAGUUUUCAAAGGCUUAUGCAGAGGCUUUGAGAAAACUUGUGCUGAAUCUAGAGUACAUAGCUAGGCAGCAGGUGAGCCAUUCAUCAAUUGUGACUGCUGAAUUAUGGGGUAUCUGGCACGGUUUGCAGUUGGCUUGGAGCGAAGGACAUCAUCGGGUCAUCGUUGAGUCGGAUUCGGUGGAAGCAAUUUCGGCUUUGGCAAAAGCCAAUCCACUGCACCCUCAGUUUAAUCUGUUACAAGAAAUUUGGGAGCUAAUGGCAAGGAGUUGGGAGUGUGACCUUCAACGAAUUUGGCGGGAGGCCAAUGUCUGUGCUGAUUUGCUUGCAAAAGGGGCCCUUAGUAUGGCUGUUAACAGGGAAGAUUUAGUAGAUGCACCCUCUGUUUUGCCUACAGCUUUAGAUAGAGAUAUAUGGGGGCUUGGUUCCUCUCGUAGUGUUUUUCUUUAGUUUUGGCUUCGGCCCAUAGUUUACCAAAAAAAAAAAUAUAAAUCAAAAUUAAAUGUCAAUAUAUUAAAUAACUUACAAACCAUAGUUUAAUUUUAAAAUCAUACUAAGUAUAAAAGUAAAAAUAAAAAAGAAGUAUAGUGAAAGGAGUUUUAUCUCUAUAGUAGAAGAAAAUAUUGUUUCAACUAAGAUACGGUACAUCUUGGAUAUAUACUAGGUACGUCUGGGUACGCCAAAAAUUAAGAAGAAAAAAUUUGGGUACGUGUUUCGUGUAUCCAGUACGCAUGUAGAAAUACCAUACGAGGUACCAUACACCGGUAAAUACCCAAUACGGGUACAACAUGUUUUUCGAAGUACUCAUGCUUCAUAGACAGGCGCUCUGAAAUUUUUAUAUGCCCUUGCUUCCCUGCCCCAGCCCCUGCUUUGUGCAACUAAGAUAUAAACCCUAAAAAAGGCUGAAAAGGUUUGGAUUCAUAUUCAUCUGGAAUUCAAUUCUCAUGAUUUGAUUUUUUUUUUUCAAUGAAUUUCUUUUAUUGUGAUUUGGAUUUGCAUGAAGGCUUAGCAUGCUGUAGAUACACCACAGAACAGAGAACUUAGAUUCCACAUUUUAGUGGGCACCUAACCACACACUUGUACAAAUUGAUAGAGUUUUCUUCAUAGUUAUUCAUUCAAGGACUGUCAUGUUGUCUAGUGUAAUAUAAAUUACUGAUGAUUACUGCUACCCUACAUUUUUACCAGUUUUGCUAUAUUUAUACCCUAGAGAUGUGCCAAGUGAGGGGAAGAAUAUGGUUAAAGCAACAAAAUACACUAUGCUCUGCUUCUCUCCAAGAUAUAUAUUGCAUGAUUUGAGAGGAGAUCAGGUGAACCAGUGAAUACUUUUCCUGAGAAGGUUGCGGUACAAAUGAUACAUAUUCACCCAACACUGUGCAUACCAGAGCUGAUGAGAAAUGGAUUUGAAUGGUUUGAGCUGGAAGGAAGCGUGGGAGAUUACUCAAAGUGGGCGGGGGUGCCGCAGAAAUAACCAAAAGACUGUUGUUAAAGACCUUUUUUGGCUGCCAUGUGAUGGCUACUGGGGGAACACAAUUGUGGGGGACACAAUGUUUUAUGAUUGCUCAAAGUACACAAACCAGACCGUUCGACCUGAAGCACUGGAGAAAUGGAGUUUGAUUUCCUCGGCAUGUUGAGAUCAUAGAGAUGAUUGAUGAGGAGAUAAUGUUGAGUUACCUGCCUCCUUCAUGGACUUGCUUGUGAAGUCAGAGGGAAGCCUUGUUGAUCCUUUUCAAGGAAAUGCAAGAUCUGAAGAAAAUUCUGAAGAAGCAGUAGAACCUAUUGAUGAAGAGGAUCAAUUUGAGGAGCUGGAGCCACAGGACAUUGAGAGCAAAAUUAAGUUGACAUUUGGCCAGGCCCAAAACUUCCAAAGAUUGUCUGUAUGGCUAAUCUUUGUGUUGUCGGUGGGCAUGCAGUAAUCUUUGUAUGCUACCCCACAGUUGCAUUCUCCCACUUGCUGUUGCAUGGCGGCCACAACAGGUCUAUUGGGAUGGCCUUUUGAUUAUUUGCAACAGCACCCCACCAAUGGACCUAGUGAUAAAGAUUUCAGUUGUAUCGGCUCAUCAUCAUGUCUGUUUGAGGCCAUUCCAAGGACUCAAGUGCAAGUGUUCAACUUAUGCCAGAAUGUUAUAGGCUUCUAGAGCCAUUUGUCACAACUCUUCUACAUGCAUACUGAAAACAUGUUAACUUGGUAUACUGAAACAACCAUGUGGGUACCUACAGUGGAUAUGCAGAUAUAUAUGCUUGACAUGCAUAUCUUUAGCAAGUGAGAGAUGGACAAAGAUGUCAACUUGAAUGCAGCUGGUUUAUGUAAGUUCAGCAAUUCAUGAAUAUGCAAGGGACAUAUGGAUGAUUGAGCUUGUUGUAUUACCAUAAAGGGAUGCAUAAAAGAGGGGAACCAAGUUUUACUCAGGGCUUCUCAAGGGAACAUAAGAUGGUUGUUCAAGAGAUCAUGGCUUUACCACCACUGCCAUAAUGAUGAGUUUUAUUAAUAAGAGAAAUUUUUUUGGUGGUGCUGAUAAUGAUAUCAUCAAGGAGAUUUUUCACCGUUCGAUCUUGAUCUUAAUCUCCAUCUCCAUCUCCAUCUCGUGAUUUCCAUCCAAUCAAUCAUCAUAACACACCUAUCGCUUCCAGCAAAUUAUGGAUUUUCUUCAAUUUUUUCUCAACUAAUGCAUCAGGAAUUGAAAUGAAUCAGAUCUUUGACUGAACAUUAUCCACUAUAAACGUUUUUACCAUCUUUUUGACCUUAGAAUGCAGUUGGCUUUGGAAAUGGUCAACUUUGGAAAUGAUGGACCUCAACUACUUACAUGUAAUAUAUGAUUAAUUCCUUGUAUAUAUGUAGCUACAUGUUUUACAUUGAGAACUCAGUUCUCUUUUUCCCAACUCUCUUAGCUUUAUAAGAUGAUGAUCAUCAAGUUGGGUUCACA